CUUAGCGGACGGUGAACCAAUGCC
rnacentral:siRNA from 1 species